rnacentral:rRNA from 1 species
AUGUGCUUCUUCAUUUUGCUACAACCAGUAGUGCCUCCGAAGGAUGCCAGCUUGAAAAUGGUACACGGAGGUUCAAGGUUGCUGGUUCUCAAGUUAAACUUCAUUGGUAGACAAAAAAUGGCGACAAUCAGACAUCCGUCCGUCCUUGCUCUUCCUGGUCUGAAUCAGUGUGCUUUCUUACUUCCUGUACCUCCUGGUAGAAUUAUUUUUAUGAUUGAAGGUUUGCUGUCAUGGCCUGAUCCUGGGAAUUUAACAAAGGCGGAUCAAUCUAGACGCAGUCCGUCAGUCAGAUGCUUGUGCCAAGUAAUCCUACUAGAAGCUUAA